AUACGUAGGUGGCAAGCGUUGUCCGGAAUUAUUGGGCGUAAAGCGCGCGCAGGCGGUCCUUUAAGUCUGAUGUGAAAGCCCACGGCUCAACCGUGGAGGGUCAUUGGAAACUGGGGGACUUGAGUGCAGAAGAGGAAAGUGGAAUUCCAAGUGUAGCGGUGAAAUGCGUAGAGAUUUGGAGGAACACCAGUGGCGAAGGCGACUUUCUGGUCUGUAACUGACGCUGAGGAGCGAAAGCGUGGGGAGCAAACAGGAUUAGAUACCCUGGUAGUCCACGCCGUAAACGAUGAGUGCUAAGUGUUAGGGGGUUUCCGCCCCUUAGUGCUGCAGCUAACGCAUUAAGCACUCCGCCUGGGGAGUACGGUCGCAGGACUGAAACUCAAAUGAAUUGACGGGG
rnacentral:rRNA from 1 species